AUGUACCUCCAAUACCUCGUCCUCGCUGCCCUCCUGGGGAAUUCGCUGGAUGCCAUGGGCCAGACCACCGUGACUCAGAAAGAUAGUCUAGACACAGUGGAGGAGAGAGGCACUUUCCAGACCACCUGCACCUACCAGACCUCCAGCUUUUAUGGCUUGUUCUGGUACCAGCAGAGGAGUGGCCAAGCCCCACAGCUGGUCUCGCAUCAGGUGGGAGCUGGUCGCAAGGACAGCAGCCGAUUCACCACACCACUGAACACCACAGGGAAAUACAGCCUCCUGAAGCUGGAGGAAGUCAAGGUCUCUGACACUGCCUUGUACCUCUGUGGUGUGGAAGACACUCUGGUGCAGGAAGCUUCCUUGGCUGUGCAAAAACCUGAGGCAGGGAGGAGGGUGAGGGUGCCUCUAGACAAGGUGGAGCUCCAUGGACAUGACCCUCAGCUCUCCCCUAGCAAUACUAUUUUCAGACUGGUGUCUGCAGGCCUGACAGGGAGGAGAAGCUGGUGA